UACAGAGGUGUCAAACGUUGUCCGGAAUUAUUGGGCGUAAAGGGCGCGUGGGCGGCCGGGUAAGUGAGAUGUGAAAGCUCUGGGCUCAACCCAGGAAUUGCAUUUCAUACUGCUCGGCUUGAGAUUGGUAGAGGAUGGCGGAAUUCCAGGUGUAGCGGUGAAAUGCGUAGAUAUCUGGAGGAACACCUGUGGCGAAGGCGGCUAUCUGAUCCAAUUCUGACGCUGAGGCGCGAAAGGUAGGGGAGCAAACAGG
rnacentral:rRNA from 1 species